rnacentral:rRNA from 1 species
GACGAACCGUGCAAACGUUGUUCGGAAUCACUGGCUUAAAGGGCGCGUAGGCGGCUCGCCAAGUCGGGGGUGAAAUCUUUCGGCUCAACCGGAAAAGUGCCUUCGAUACUGGCGGGCUAGAGGGAGGUAGGGGCAUGCGGAACUUCCGGUGGAGCGGUGAAAUGCGUUGAUAUCGGAAGGAACGCCGGUGGCGAAAGCGGCGUGCUGGACCUCUUCUGACGCUGAGGCGCGAAAGCUAGGGGAGCAAACGGGG